GCCCGCCGCCCCGCCUGCGUGUUCCAGAGAGGAUCGGGCAGGAGAGCAGACUUCUAUUCAACGCUUCUGAAUACAGUGGGACUUCUUACAGAGGGUCGAUGUGUCAAGAACACUAUCCAAAAUGAACCACGAGGAAACACAUGCGGGGACAACGGAAGCCAGCUGAUGCAGAUCCCACUGUUAAGAAGAGGAGACAACAGAAUUCACAACCAGGUCUUCUAAGUCUAAC